GGAACCUCACCAGAAAGCCACCGAUAACUUUGUCCACGCACGCGGGGUAAUUCGUAGGGGGCAUGCUUUAUCGGGAAUUAUUGGGUGUAAAGGCCUCGCAGGCGGUUUUUUAAGUCUUAUGUGAAAGCCCGCGGCUCAUCCGGGGAGGGUUUUGGAAACUGGGAAACUUGAGUGCAGAAGAGGAGAGUGGAAUUCCAUGUGUAGCGGUGAAAUGCGUAGAGAUGUGGAGGAACACCAGUGGCGAAGGCGACUCUCUGGUCUGUAACUGACGCUGAGGAGCGAAAGCGUGGGGAGCGA
rnacentral:rRNA from 1 species